rnacentral:rRNA from 1 species
UACGUAGGCAGCGAGCGUUGUUCGGAGUUACUGGCGUAAAGCGUGCGUAGGCGGUGGUCCAAGUCUGGUGUGAAAUCUCCCGGCUCAACUGGGAGGGUGCGCCGGAAACUGGGCCGCUGGAGUAUGGGAGAGGCAAGCGGAAUUCCAGGUGGUAGCGGUGAAAUGACGUAGAUAUCUGGAGGAACACCCGUGGUGCAGACGGCUUGCUGGACCAUGACUGACGCUGAGGCACGAAAGCGUGGGUAGCAAACAGG